UAGUCCACGCCGUAAACGAUGAUUACUCGUUGUUGGCAAUACAUCGUCAGCGACUGAGCGAAAGCAUUAAGUAAUCCACCUGGGGAGUACGAUCGCAAGAUUGAAACUCAAAGGAAUUGACGGGGGCCCGCACAAGCGGAGGAACAUGUGGUUUAAUUCGAUGAUACGCGAGGAACCUUACCUGGGCUUAAAUGCAUAACGACGGACCGGGAAACUGGUCUUUCUUCGGACGGAAUGCAAGGUGCUGCAUGGUUGUCGUCAGCUCGUGCCGUGAGGUGUCGGGUUAAGUCCCAUAACGAGCGCAACCCUCAUCAUUAGUUGCCUUAUGGAACUCUAAAAAGACUGCCGGUUAUAAACCGGAGGAAGGCGGGGAUGACGUCAAGUCAGCAUGCCCCUUAAACCCUGGGCUACACACGUGCUACAAUGGACGAGACAAUGAGACGCCAAUCUGCGAAGAAUAGCUAAUCUAUAAACUCGUUCUAAGUUCGGAUUGUAGGCUGCAACUCGCCUGC
rnacentral:rRNA from 1 species